GUAGCUCAGGCACGUUUGGGCUGGCUCAGCACCAGGGGCGAAUCCAGUAAUAAGGGGGGGAGUCUCCCGCGGCUGGUAAUGCUCCCGGCACGGCGCAGCACAGCCCAGCCCAGCCCCAGCCGGGGUCUGUGCCCCGAGUGAAAUCUCCCUGUGAGCAUCCCAGGCUAACUGCUGCAAUAUGAAGAUAUAAAUAGCCGUAUGUGUUUACGCUGCAAAAGAGAAUUGCACCCACGCACAUAUGAUACCACUCCAAAAUAAGGAGAUGAAUUUUGGCCUUUUUGAAUCAAUAUUAAGCCCACUGAUUACUUCCUGCUCACAUGUAUCACCUUGCUUUGGGAUCUGCAUAAUAUCUUCCCCACUUUGAUCUCUUAACAGACUGUCUCUAGAGAAUUCUGGAGUGGAAACAGGCAUAAGGAAGCAUGUGAUGGAUGGCAUCAACUGUUGGACUCAACCAAAGGAACAGACAGAGCUCCAGGAAGCCAGCUGCCCUCCUCAGCGCUCGAUAAACACCUCAGCAUCUAUCGGAGAAAAAACACGAAACAAAAACACGAAACAGGAGAAAGGAAUGACUCGUGCAAAGAAACAAAAGCCUUGUAUUUCAGGUAGGUCUCACUCAUUUUAAAAAAGAUUAUUGUUAGCUGGGAAGCAGUCAGCGACAUCCACCCCAAAAACACA
rnacentral:lncRNA from 1 species